GAUCAUGGCUCAGGACGAACGCUGGCGGCGUGCUUAACACAUGCAAGUCGAACGAGAAUCUGUGGAUCGAGGAUUCGUCCAAGUGGAGCAGAGGACAGUGGCGGACGGGUGAGUAACGCGUGAGGAACCUGCCUUUCAGAGGGGGACAACAGUUGGAAACGACUGCUAAUACCGCAUGAUACAUUUGGGUGGCAUCAUCUGAAUGUCAAAGAUUUAUCGCUAGAAAG
rnacentral:rRNA from 1 species